AACGCUUCUUUUUCACCGGAGCUUGCUCCACCGGAAAAAGAGGAGUGGCGAACGGGUGAGUAACACGUGGGUAACCUGCCCAUCAGAAGGGGAUAACACUUGGAAACAGGUGCUAAUACCGUAUAACAAUCAAAACCGCAUGGUUUUGAUUUGAAAGGCGCUUUCGGGUGUCGCUGAUGGAUGGACCCGCGGUGCAUUAGCUAGUUGGUGAGGUAACGGCUCACCAAGGCCACGAUGCAUAGCCGACCUGAGAGGGUGAUCGGCCACAUUGGGACUGAGACACGGCCCAAACUCCUACGGGAGGCAGCAGUAGGGAAUCUUCGGCAAUGGACGAAAGUCUGACCGAGCAACGCCGCGUGAGUGAAGAAGGUUUUCGGAUCGUAAAACUCUGUUGUUAGAGAAGAACAAGGAUGAGAGUAACUGUUCAUCCCUUGACGGUAUCUAACCAGAAAGCCACGGCUAACUACGUGCCAGCAGCCGCGGUAAUACGUAGGUGGCAAGCGUUGUCCGGAUUUAUUGGGCGUAAAGCGAGCGCAGGCGGUUUCUUAAGUCUGAUGUGAAAGCCCCCGGCUCAACCGGGGAGGGUCAUUGGAAACU
rnacentral:rRNA from 1 species